rnacentral:rRNA from 1 species
ACAUACGCGUAGAGUUUGAUCCUGGCUCAGGACGAACGCUGGCGGCGUGGAUUAGGCAUGCAAGUCGAGCGACGGUUUCUCUUCGGAGUAAUACGGAGCGGCGAACGGGUGAGUAACGCGUGAACAACCUGUCCCUUUGUUCCGGAUAAUUGGGAGAAAUCCCUUGUAAUACGGGCGAGGACGGUCCUUUGGCAUCUUAGGAUCGGGAAACACGAAAGUGGCAUGGGGAGGGGUUCGCGACCUAUCAGGUAGUUGGUGUGGUAACGGCACACCAAGCCAACGACGGGUAGCUGGUCUGAGAGGAUGGUCAGCCACAUUGGAACUGAGACACUGUCCAGACUCCUACGGGAGGCUGCAGUCGAGAAUCUUGGGCAAUGCACGAAAGUGUGACCCAGCGACGCCGCGUGAAGGAUGAAGGCCCUCUGGGUCGUAAACUUCUUUUAAGGGGAAAGAAUGGCCUCGGGCUUUGACGGUACCCUUUGAAUAAGCCACGGCUAACUACGUGCCAGCAGCCGCGGUAAU